AGAAUCCUUGAAAAGUAAUUUAGCUGAGGGUAAAACUUGAGGUUAAGUUACUUUCUCUUAGCUCCUUCAGGAUUGUUAUUAUUCCAUGAUUCCACUGCCUUCUGGCCUCCACUGUCCUUGAGAAGUCGGCUUCAAAUCGUCUUGCCUUCUGCAGCUGGGCACAGAUGACAAUUAGUCUUACGGCACAGCAGAGCCUGGGUCCUUGAAUCGCCUCGAAGAGAGCCACCCCCUGAACAGGAACGGUCCUACUUGGUGGCAGCUGAAAAGUGGACUUCUAUUGUGUUAAAGCCACUGAACCUUCGAGGGGCUCUUUGUCAGUGCAGGUCCUGGACACUGGAGAUGACCGUCCCUGCAGCCAACUUCCGGCCCCCCAACUCACCACCCAGCGGAGCCGCAGGCUGGUCUCGCUAGCAGUCCGCACGGUGAUGCUGGUCGGAGCCACGUCCGGGGGCGCCUGCAGGGUCUGGAUGACCCGGGAGGACUGGCUGAAGGGGCUGGCACCGACGAUGUUCACCUGCCUCAUUCGAAAUCUAGAGGCAAAUGGCAAAAGGCAAUGUGGAAAGACGGACAGAACAAAAAAACCCACAACGUUCUCAGAAGGUGCAGGCGUGUGUCCCUCUGUGUCAUCAAGGCUGCCGCUCAAGGGCACCUUCUUUCCACCUGGUUUCAUUAAAAAUGCAAAUUGCA